rnacentral:tRNA from 1 species
GCCCGGUUAGCUCAAUCGGUAGAGCGUGAGACUCUUAAUCUCAAGGUUGCGGGUGAGUGAAGAUUCCAAUUGUACGAUCUGCUCUACCUGUCAUACUGACUCUCAUACCACAGGUUCGACCCCCGCAUCGGGCU